UGGGGAAUCUUCCGCAAUGGGCGCAAGCCUGACGGAGCAACGCCGCGUGAGUGAAGAAGGUCUUCGGAUCGUAAAGCUCUGUUGAUGGGGACGAACGUGCCUAAUGCGAAUAGUAUUAGGUAAUGACGGUACCCAUCGAGGAAGCCACGGCUAACUACGUGCCAGCAGCCGCGGUAAUACGUAGGUGGCGAGCGUUGUCCGGAAUCAUUGGGCGUAAAGGGAGCGCAGGCGGGCAUGUAAGUCUUUCUUAAAAGUGCGGGGCUCAACCCCGUGAUGGGAAAGAAACUAUGUGUCUUGAGUACAGGAGAGGAAAGCGGAAUUCCCAGUGUAGCGGUGAAAUGCGUAGAUAUUGGGAGGAAAACCAGUGGCGAAGGCGGCUUUCUGGACUGCAACUGACGCUGAGGCUCGAAAGCCAGGGGAGCGAACGGG
rnacentral:rRNA from 1 species